UACGUAGGGUGCGAGCGUUGUCCGGAAUUAUUGGGCGUAAAGAGCUCGUAGGCGGUUUGUCGCGUCGGCCGUGAAAACUUGGGGCUUAACCCCAAGCCUGCGGUCGAUACGGGCAGACUUGAGUUCGGCAGGGGAGACUGGAAUUCCUGGUGUAGCGGUGAAAUGCGCAGAUAUCAGGAGGAACACCGGUGGCGAAGGCGGGUCUCUGGGCCGAUACUGACGCUGAGGAGCGAAAGUGUGGGGAGCGAACAGG
rnacentral:rRNA from 1 species